GCCCUGGUAGCUCAAUUGGUUAGAGCGUCGGACUUUUAUCGGUGUUUAAGUACAAUUGGUAAUUUGAGACAUCCGAAGGCUGCGGGUUCGACCCCCGCCUGGGGCG